CUGUAGCUCAGUAGGUAGAGCGUUUCCAUGGUAAGGAAGAGGUCGCAGGUUCGAUUCCUGUCGGG
rnacentral:tRNA from 1 species